rnacentral:rRNA from 1 species
UCUYGAUGGUAGUGUAUUGGACUACCAUGAGAAUCACGGGUACGAGGAAUUAGGGUUUGAUAUCGGAGAGGGAGCSUGAGAAACGGCUACCACUUCUAAGGAAGGCAGCAGGCGCGUAAAUUACCCAAUCGCAACUCGCGGAGGUAGUGACAAGAAAUAAUAACUCGGGUGAUUUUCAUCAUUACGAGAUUAAAAUGAGAACAAUUUAAAGAUCUUAUCGAGGAACAAUAAGAGGACAAGUCUGGUGCCAGCACCCGCGGUAAUUCCAGCUCUUAUAGUGUAUAUUAAUGUUGUUGCAGUUAAAAAGCUCGUAGUCGAUCAUCUAGCAGUCGGUGCCAUGGCUUCGUGCCAAGGUGUCCGGCGGCUAUCAGCUCGAAAACUUCUUCUACCUUCAUUGGUCGAGGAUGCUGAUCGGGCACUUUCCUGAGAAAAAAUUAGAGUGUUCAAAGCAGGCUAACGCCGUGAAUAUUACAGCUUGGAAUAAUAGAAUAAGACUGAAGUCGCUUUUGUUGGUUAUGAGACUUUAGUAAUGGUUAAUAGAAACAGUCGGGGGUAUUAGUAUUUAAUUGUCAGAGGUGAAAUUCUUGGAUUUAUUAAAGACUAACUUAUGCGAAAGCAUUUGCCAAGGAUGUUUUCAAUUGAUCAAGAACGAAAGUUAGGGGAUCAAAGAMGAUCAGAUACCGUC